ensembl:miRNA
AUGGCCCAGCUGGGGUCGCAACCUAGGUCAAUCUGACCCCAAAGGCUGUGCUUGCACAGGAGCCCAAGGAGGUGCCUCUGAGCCCAGCCUUGGAGGUGAGUCCACGGAGGUUGGGGGGCGACAGGGAGGGACACUGC